CGGUUGUCGAAGCCGUCAAAAAUAAACCUAUUAAACAAUCAACAAUUAAUUUGCAGAUAGUGGUAAUAGAGUCGAACCACAGGGAAUUGACACCAAAGAUUUUCCUAACAAUGACUAAGGCAAAUAAAUGACAAAUAAAUAAAAGAGGGGGGUUUUGUUUUGAUGAUUAAAACUAAAUAGUAAGAGAAAGCAAUAAUUUAAAUAGAUGAGAAUUUCAAUAGGAGAAGAAUUCUAGU
rnacentral:lncRNA from 1 species